rnacentral:rRNA from 1 species
UACGAAGGGGGCUAGCGUUGUUCGGAAUUACUGGGCGUAAAGCGUGCGCAGGCGGUUCGUUGUGUCUGAUGUGAAAGCCCCGGGCUCAACCUGGGAAUGGCAUUGGAAACUGGCGAGCUAGAGUGUGGCAGAGGGGGGUGGAAUUCCGCGUGUAGCAGUGAAAUGCGUAGAGAUGCGGAGGAACACCGAUGGCGAAGGCAGCCCCCUGGGCUGACACUGACGCUCAGGCACGAAAGCGUGGGGAGCAAACAGG